rnacentral:lncRNA from 1 species
ACAGCUGAACCGAGAGACAAUACGCUUUCAAUACCUAGAAAGCAUAAACCUCGACAGCGCUUUGGACUGCGGGUUCUAAAAGAGAUAAGCACAGGGGCUCUUCAACAAAAUAGCCGGCCGAAGGGGUAUCGGCUGCUGUGAUCCGUUGGAUUAGGAUUUGAUGGCCCGGAUUAGAUGCAAGAGAGAGGGAAGGGAGUUUGGCCGCCGGCGGUGAGGUCGGCACGGCGGCGCCAUUGACGGUGGUCCAAAAGCUCACCGGAAUUGCUAGAAACGGCGAUGGUGACGCCCAAAAAACAAAAUAAAAACGUGGGGAGGUGGAGACGCUUACUACGAGCUCUCCGGUGCCCAUAACGCGACCCGAGAGGGCUGGGAAGGAAGCGGCCACGCGUGGAAAGCUUCGGCGAGAUCCGCUCCUCGACGUCGGUGGCGGCUAGGGCUUCUCGGGCGCUUUAGAUAAAAAAAACGCGUGCGGGGC